rnacentral:misc_RNA from 1 species
CCGAGAAAGGGUUUCCCUGUCGGGGCCCGACCUCUUCACCGUGCUGAAUCGGACCCUGUUGCUUCAGCGGGCUGGAGGGUGAUGCCUUCGCCCUCCCCAGCUAGGCCCGCUGGAGACCCUUGUCACAUACCGAUGCGUCAACGCAUGUCUGUCUGAGUGGGAAUGCAAUCUAGUCGCA